rnacentral:rRNA from 1 species
UUAUGAUAAUAGGGCAUCCUAUAAUUAUGAAAGCUAUAAGCGCUGUGAGAGAGCUUUGCGUCCCAUUAGCUAGUUGGAGAGGUAACGGCUCACCAAGGCGAUGAUGGGUAGCCGGCCUGAGAGGGUGAUCGGCCACAAGGGGACUGAGACACGGCCCUUACUCCUACGGGAGGCAGCAGUGGGGAAUAUUGGACAAUGGACCAAGAGUCUGAUCCAGCAAUUCUGUGUGCACGAUGAAGUUUUUCGGAAUGUAAAGUGCUUUCAGUUGGGAAGAAAGAAAUGACGGUACCAACAGAAGAAGUGACGGCUAAAUACGUGCCAGCAGCCGCGGUAAUACGUAUGUCACGAGCGUUAUCCGGAUUUAUUGGGCGUAAAGCGCGUCUAGGUGGUUAUGUAAGUCUGAUGUGAAAAUGCAGGGCUCAACUCUGUAUUGCGUUGGAAACUGUAUAACUAGAGUACUGGAGAGGUAAGCGGAACUACAAGUGUAGAGGUGAAAUUCGUAGAUAUUUGUAGGAAUGCCGAUGGGGAAGCCAGCUUACU